AGGAACAUCAGCAAGGUGUGGAACAUGUUGUUCCUGCCCUGGAGCCACGGAGAGAAAUAAGGAUUUAGAAAUCAAAACAAGUAAAAACCUCAGCAUUUUCCUAGUUUGGAACUUCCCCUCGGAAUUUACACUGGCCUCAAGGGGGGACAUCAGUGACAUCACCCACCAGGGACUGUGAUUUGGGGUUUUACAAUAAAUUGGCAGAAAAUUAAUAAGAGGAAGGUCCUGCUUAGGAACUCCUGUCUCCUGAACAGACACCACAGAUUUCAGAGGUGCUGCUGUGAUCCCAGAGGAAAAGAGCCCAGGCCAGCGCAGUACCUGGUUUAUCUGGAGUCUGGAUGAAGUGUUGGGAAGUGAAGGUUUUGCCAUCGGGAUACUUGGGGUGAGGCGGGAGCCUGGAGUCCAGGAGCUGUUUGACAGGAAGAAGUGGAUUUGCUGGGAAAAAAAUGCCACAAAUCUUAAAGAAUCUGGGAGAUGCACCUUGGAC